AAUGGCCGAAAGGCUGAACCAGUAACUUGGAAGAAUGUAAGUGUAUUUGUAUAAAUACAAUAGCGAUUAAUUCGCAUAAAAUUCUAAAUAGAUUGUAUAUAAUGACAUAAUCUAUUUAUAAGUCUUGACCAAACUACGUGCCAGCAGUCGCGGUAAUACGUAGGAGGCUAGUGUUAGUUAUCUUUAUUGGGUUUAAAGGGUAAGUAGACGGUAAAUUAAACUCUAAACGAGUACUUUUUUACUAGAGUUAUAUGAGAGAAGGAAGAAUACCUGGAGUAGAGAUAGAAUUCGAUAAUACCAGGGGGACUGUCAACGGCGAAGGCGUCCUUCUAUGUAAUAA
rnacentral:rRNA from 1 species